AGUCGAGCGAGCUUGCCUAGAUGAAUUUGGUGCUUGCACCAGAUGAAACUAGAUACAAGCGAGCGGCGGACGGGGGAGUAACACGUGGGUAACCUGCCCAAGAGACUGGGAUAACACCUGGAAACAGAUGCUAAUACCGGAUAACAACACUAGACGCAUGUCUAGAGUUUAAAAGAUGGUUCUGCUAUCACUCUUGGAUGGACCUGCGGUGCAUUAGCUAGUUGGUAAGGUAACGGCUUACCAAGGCAAUGAUGCAUAGCCGAGUUGAGAGACUGAUCGGCCACAUUGGGACUGAGACACGGCCCAAACUCCUACGGGAGGCAGCAGUAGGGAAUCUUCCACAAUGGACGCAAGUCUGAUGGAGCAACGCCGCGUGAGUGAAGAAGGGUUUCGGCUCGUAAAGCUCUGUUGGUAGUGAAGAAAGAUAGAGGUAGUAACUGGCCUUUAUUUGACGGUAAUUACUUAGAAAGUCACGGCUAACUACGUGCCAGCAGCCGCGGUAAUACGUAGGUGGCAAGCGUUGUCCGGAUUUAUUGGGCGUAAAGCGAGUGCAGGCGGUUCAAUAAGUCUGAUGUGAAAGCCUUCGGCUCAACCGGAGAAUUGCAUCAGAAACUGUUGAACUUGAGUGCAGAAGAGGAGAGUGGAACUCCAUGUGUAGCGGUGGAAUGCGUAGAUAUAUGGAAGAACACCAGUGGCGAAGGCGGCUCUCUGGUCUGCAACUGACGCUGAGGCUCGAAAGCAUGGGUAGCGAACAGGAUUAGGUACCCUGGUAGUCCAUGCCGUANACGAUGAGUGCUAAGUGUUGGGAGGUUUCCGCCUCUCAGUGCUGCAGCUAACGC
rnacentral:rRNA from 1 species